rnacentral:misc_RNA from 1 species
CCCGUUACGCAACGUAAUAACACAGUGAAUUUUUUUUUUUUUUUUAAAAAACGUCGUCCAGCAGAGAAAAAUGGCCUCCGACCAGGCAUGGAGGGAAACGGGGAGUAAAAAAAGUGAACAUAGAGAGGGGAGAAAGGGAGAGAUAAGAGAAGAGAGUUGGGAAAAGAGAGAGACAGAAGCCAGUGUGUAAGUAAGAGAGACGCGUGAAAGCCUCUGAUACAGUGUGCAAAGGAGGGGACAAGGUGAAGAGGAGGAUACUCGACUCAGUAGCGUAACUAUCAUGAAGCAAAUAUGUAUACGCGGGUAUUUUUUUGUGAAGGCUUGAGAAGGGAAUCGAACGACCGUAUUUCCCCUCUCUUGAUUACGCCACUGGCUCGACCCAGCGAGGCAGCACGGACAACCGGGUGCGCUGUUGCCAAGCGGAAAUCACAGACCUACGGCAUUUUCUUCUUCCACGAAAAGGAAGACGAAGACAUGUAUUCGUUUGCCGUGUUGCCUUCUGCAUCAACCAAGCUCAAAAACAACCAUCUCCAUAAUUAUACUGUCUCAGAAGUGAAACGCGUGCCUUAUAAAGUAACAGAUUAAAUAUAUGCUUUUGUUUAAAAAAGGAAGUAUGUUCUGACGAUAUCCGACUUAAUGACCUCGAAAAAAUCACGUAAAUCACGCUUUUAUAAAAUUUCUUCGUGACGAUUUUCAAGUAAAGGAAAAUUAAAGCAACAAUUGUACACUAUAAAAACAAGAGCUUGUACGUGAGUGCUUAUUCCCUGUUAAUGUCGUUAGCGUAUCGAGACAAGAAUAUCGAUGGAGCAAUACCACAGUGGUCAGUUUCGACAAAUCCAUGUUGAAAAAAAAGUCAAUAUGAAAUGGAGGUCGAUAGCGUGAUGACCUCGAAGCCAAUUGGGAAUUUUACAAUGCCGUGGCCUCUCGCACGAAAGAUACAUGCUCGUGGUAUAUAUAUAAGGAUGCUCUGUUGCCACGUCUUGAUUCAGUAUAGACUACAGACCAAUAAAAUAAGUUUUCCUCAUGAAUCCUUGGCUUUACGCUGCAUUAUUGAUAAAUCUUAAGGCAACGUCAGCGAUAUGAGCAUAUCUCUUUACUUUACGUGAACCAUUCACUUUAGUCCUCUCAUAAGGCGAUCAAAAUUAAUAUGUAUUAUUAUAUAUUUGUUAUUAUUAUAUAUAUUAUAUACAUACUACGUAUAUAUAUUCAAUUUGGAUUGUCCGCGACCAGAUCAACUAUUAAUCGAUAACUAAACUUGUAGCAUUAAAAAUUGAAUAGCUUUGGUGGGAAAAUUUAAUUACAAUUUAUUUCAUUUGAAGAAUUACACAAUAAAAAUAUACUUAACUUAGGAAAAUCUCUUUCUUAGGUAUUCUCAAUUGCAUACGUGUGACUUAAGAAUACAAACUACAACGCGAAUAACGACUAUCAACAGGUUUAAGGACUGGUGCAAAUAAAUGCUGCAACAUGGUAUGGUUACAAUUGUACGUUUCACUGUACGUUUCAGCAGAUUUAUAUUUCUAAUAAGAGAAUCAUUUACU